rnacentral:rRNA from 8 species
AGACCCGAAACCCGGUGAUCUAGCCAUGGGCAGGUUGAAGGUUGGGUAACACUAACUGGAGGACCGAACCGACUAAUGUUGAAAAAUUAGCGGAUGACCUGUGGCUGGGGGUGAAAGGCCAAUCAAACCGGGAGAUAGCUGGUUCUCCCCGAAAGCUAUUUAGGUAGCGCCUCGUGAAUUCAUCUCCGGGGGUAGAGCACUGUUUCGGCUAGGGGGCCAUCCCGGCUUACCAACCCGAUGCAAACUGCGAAUACCGGAGAAUGUUAUCACGGGAGACACACGGCGGGUGCUAACGUCCGUCGUGAAGAGGGAAACAACCCAGACCGCCAGCUAAGGUCCCAAAGUCAUGGUUAAGUGGGAAACGAUGUGGGAAGGCCCAGACAGCCAGGAUGUUGGCUUAGAAGCAGCCAUCAUUUAAAGAAAGCGUAAUAGCUCACUGGUCGAGUCGGCCUGCGCGGAAGAUGUAACGGGGCUAAACCAUGCACCGAAGCUGCGGCAGCGACACUGUGUGUUGUUGGGUAGGGGAGCGUUCUGUAAGCCUGUGAAGGUGUGUCGUGAGGCAUGCUGGAGGUAUCAGAAGUGCGAAUGCUGACAUAAGUAACGAUAAAGCGGGUGAAAAGCCCGCUCGCCGGAAGACCAAGGGUUCCUGUCCAACGUUAAUCGGGGCAGGGUGAGUCGACCCCUAAGGCGAGGCCGAAAGGCGUAGUCGAUGGGAAACGGGUUAAUAUUCCCGUACUUGGUGUUACUGCGAAGGGGGGACGGAGAAGGCUAUGUUGGCCGGGCGACGGUUGUCCCGGUUUAAGCGUGUAGGUGUGUGUUCCAGGUAAAUCCGGUUCACUUUAACACUGAGGCGUGACGACGAGGCACUACGGUGCUGAAGCAACAAAUGCCCUGCUUCCAGGAAAAGCCUCUAAGCAUCAGGUAACAUCAAAUCGUACCCCAAACCGACACAGGUGGUCAGGUAGAGAAUACCAAGGCGCUUGAGAGAACUCGGGUGAAGGAACUAGGCAAAAUGGUGCCGUAACUUCGGGAGAAGGCACGCUGACACGUAGGUGAAGUGAUUUACUCAUGGAGCUGAAGUCAGUCGAAGAUACCAGCUGGCUGCAACUGUUUAUUAAAAACACAGCACUGUGCAAACACGAAAGUGGACGUAUACGGUGUGACGCCUGCCCGGUGCCGGAAGGUUAAUUGAUGGGGUCAGCGCAAGCGAAGCUCCUGAUCGAAGCCCCGGUAAACGGCGGCCGUAACUAUAACGGUCCUAAGGUAGCGAAAUUCCUUGUCGGGUAAGUUCCGACCUGCACGAAUGGCGUAAUGAUGGCCAGGCUGUCUCCACCCGAGACUCAGUGAAAUUGAACUCGCUGUGAAGAUGCAGUGUACCCGCGGCAAGACGGAAAGACCCCGUGAACCUUUACUAUAGCUUGACACUGAACAUUGAGCCUUGAUGUGUAGGAUAGGUGGGAGGCUUUGAAGUGUGGACGCCAGUCUGCAUGGAGCCGACCUUGAAAUACCACCCUUUAAUGUUUGAUGUUCUAACGUGGACCCGUUACCCGGGUUGCGGACAGUGUCUGGUGGGUAGUUUGACUGGGGCGGUCUCCUCCUAAAGAGUAACGGAGGAGCACGAAGGUUGGCUAAUCCUGGUCGGACAUCAGGAGGUUAGUGCAAUGGCAUAAGCCAGCUUGACUGCGAGCGUGACGGCGCGAGCAGGUGCGAAAGCAGGUCAUAGUGAUCCGGUGGUUCUGAAUGGAAGGGCCAUCGCUCAACGGAUAAAAGGUACUCCGGGGAUAACAGGCUGAUACCGCCCAAGAGUUCAUAUCGACGGCGGUGUUUGGCACCUCGAUGUCGGCUCAUCACAUCCUGGGGCUGAAGUAGGUCCCAAGGGUAUGGCUGUUCGCCAUUUAAAGUGGUACGCGAGCUGGGUUUAGAACGUCGUGAGACAGUUCGGUCCCUAUCUGCCGUGGGCGCUGGAGAACUGAGGGGGGCUGCUCCUAGUACGAGAGGACCGGAGUGGACGCAUCACUGGUGUUCGGGUUGUCAUGCCAAUGGCACUGCCCGGUAGCUAAAUGCGGAAGAGAUAAGUGCUGAAAGCAUCUAAGCACGAAACUUGCCCCGAG